rnacentral:SRP_RNA from 1 species
GCCGGGCACAGGGGCACGUGCCUGUAGUCCCAGCUACUCCGGAGGCUGAGGUGGGAGGAUCGCUUGAGCCCAGGAGUUCUGGGCUGUAGUGCACUAUGCCAAUCAGGUGUCUGCACUAAGUUCGGCAUCAAUAUAGUGACCUCCAGGGAGCGGAGGACCACCAGGUUGCCUAAGGAGGGGUGAACCAGCCCAGGUCAGAAACGGAGCAGGUCAAAAUUCCCGUGCUGAUCAGUAGUAGGAUCGUGCCUGUGAAUAGCCACUGCACUCCAGCCUGGGCAACAUAGUGAGACCCCUUCUCU